AAUAAGUGCAGCCAUGAGUUUCCGCGUCCAAUUUUGAUCGUUUGUCUUAUUCGAAAUUCUUUUAUAAUUAGCAUUUUUGUUGUUAUAAGAUGAAAAAACAUGAAUAGUACUUUAUUUGUGACUUAUGUUUUUAAUUUUUUUCAAAAAAAAUUUAAAUAAGAUGAAUGGUCAAAGUUGGGUGUGGAAAAUUAUGGCUGCACUUAUU
rfam:Oryza nivara chromosome 8, whole genome shotgun sequence.